rnacentral:rRNA from 1 species
UGGCGAACGGGUGAGUAACACGUGGGUGAUCUGCCCUGCACUCUGGGAUAAGCCUGGGAAACUGGGUCUAAUACCGGAUAGGACCAUGCUUUAGUGUGUGUGGUGGAAAGUUUUUUCGGUGUAGGAUGAGCCCGCGGCCUAUCAGCUUGUUGGUGGGGUAAUGGCCCACCAAGGCGGCGACGGGUAGCCGGACUGAGAGGUUGGUCGGCCACAUUGGGACUGAGAUACGGCCCAG